rnacentral:lncRNA from 1 species
GAAAAAUAUUUUAUUGUGUGCAUUAUGUAAUAUCUUGUUUAGCCAUUAAUCAGCUGAUGGACAUUUGAGUUUUUUCCACAUUUAGCUAUUGUGAAUUGUACUGCUAUGAAUAUUUAUAUAUAAGUUUUGUGUAAAACUCCUGUUUUCAGGGUAUAAAUUUUGGGGGUCAUAUAUCUAAGAGUGGAGAUGCUGAGUCAUAUCAUAUUUCUGUGUUUCAUUUUUUUAAGGAACUGCCAAAAUAUUUUCCACAUGAGUUGCACCAUGUUGCAUUCCUACCUGCAAAGUAUGGGAGUUUCACUCUCUUCAGAUCAUCACCAACCAUUGUUAUUUUCUGUUAUAGUUUUUGACAUGGCCAUCCCAACAUCCAGUCAUCCAGGCUGGAGUGCAGUGGUGCAAUCAUGUCUCACUACAGCCUCAACCUCCUGGGCUCAGACCCUUGAUGCUACUGUUUGGAAGUUUGAAUUCUCAAGAAUCAUGUUGAAAUUUGAGCUCCAAUGUUGAAGAUGAGGAAUAAGUGGAGAUGUUUGGGUAA